rnacentral:rRNA from 1 species
CAGUCGCCACGGGAAUACGUAGGUGGCAAGCGUUGUCCGGAAUUAUUGGGUGUAAAGGGCUCGCAGGCGGUUUCUUAAGUCUGAUGUGAAAGCCCCCGGCUCAACCGGGGAGGGUCAUUGGAAACUGGGAAACUUGAGUGCAGAAGAGGAGAGUGGAAUUCCACGUGUAGCGGUGAAAUGCGUAGAGAUGUGGAGGAACACCAGUGGCGAAGGCGACUCUCUGGUCUGUAACUGACGCUGAGGAGCGAAAGCGUGGGGAGCGAACAGGAUUAGAUACCCCCGUAGUCCCUGUCUCUUAUAC